GUGCGUGCGCGGGGACCCUCCCUCGCCUCGCUGGCUGGUCGGUGACCUGAUCCUCUUUGGUGGAUCUCGUGGUGGUUUUAUUUUCUCAGCAACAUCUCCGCCCCCUUCUGCUGUAGCUGAAUCUUGUGAGUAAGAUUCCUAGGGCCCCAGUCCCAUGUCAAGGUUUGUGCAAGGCCCAGUCAGCUUGAAGUUUGGAACCGGGACCUCUGUCGGAAGGAAUGGGACGUGGCCGGACAGCGGUUUGGCCUCGUUCCCCUCCACCUUUGGACAGCUUGGGGAGGUGCUGAGGGUUAAUGUGAAAUGGGACAGCAUAGAAGACUGAAGAUGGGAAAGAAGUCAUAAGAAGCUUCCCUGAGGACCUUUGAGGGGAAGAGCGUCUCACAUUAAGAGAGGCCUAGACCUGACCGACAAAUUCUACCUUGAUUAUUCUACAAAUUCUAUCUGAAAGAAAGGAGAGAAAAGAAUGGGCAAAAAGUGAUCCACAGUUGAGAUCUGUGGCUAUGCCUCCUCUCAAUAUAUCUCUGUGAAGCUGGUUCAGCCUGAAUCACAAUUUAAGAAUUAUUUGUCUACAGAUGUCCCCACCUUAAAUAAAUGUCUAUUGUAACCAUU